GGCUGAAGGACAGAAUACAGGACUGAAAGAGGACGAAAGGGGACAAGAGAUAACAUGAAUGUCAUCACAUGGUCCAGGUUCCAUACAGAGACAACAAGCACCUCAUUCAAAGGUAAUACAACAAAUAUCCUUGUGUAUCCCUUUAAUUUUCUAACAUUUUCCAAAAUGUCUGUUUUCACUUUUUCAGCUAUUAUUCAUUCACAAACUGUUAGUUGUGUGAAGUUAUUCUUGUUAUGUAUUGUCACAUUUCAACUGAUAACUAUUGAAUUAAAAGAAAACGUUACGUACCGUGAGAGAUCCAUCUGCAUUAGUGUUUUUUGGGUAAUAAGUCAUUACUGUCCCGUAAAAAUGAGACGACUGGGCGCCGCAGACCAGCAGUAGCAGCAGCAGAGAGACACACAUAGUAAAGGUAUUACUCUCUCCACACAAUGAGAGUAAAUGACUACCAAGACUAAAGCAUUUACUUCAAUAGUAGAACAAUAAACCAGAAAACUGGGUAUGAGGAAAUGUCCUUAUGCCAGGAAGAUAUGAAGAUAAGCUUGUAAAACCUGAUGUGAGUUUUUGUGGUUAGGGCGUAUUAGGGUGUAUUGUAGUUCAGUCAGACAACUCACGUGUUUCUUUAACACGUGUAUUAGAAGCAGAACAGAGUUGAGUGUGGGUCCAUUAAACCGUCACAGAGUGUGAGGUAAGUAAGAAGAAUUCAGGGACUGCUCUUUAAAUUGCGCUCCUAAUAAAUAAAGGGAAUUGGAUCCAGAAAAAAAUAAAACACUUGGAUGCAAUUUAAUAGAAUUUGGACGCACCCUUUGCAUUAGUAUUGGAAUGCGGCCCGACCAUAACAAUGUCGCAUUUGGCUCCAAGCUACUCUGUGCCAUGCUCCUAGUUUAUUUGUUACUCAGUGUUUUUGGAUAUAAAUGGGAGGAUGUUCCGGCGGCAAACUGUUAUUGUUAAUGUCAUGUAUAUGUCCUAAAGUUACGUGCAGGGUGGAAACGUGGAAAAAGGCAAAACAUGACACUUGCAAAGAUGUUUUUUAUGAAAAGAAAAUAUGUAGUUUUAUUUUUCAGCUCUCAAACAGAAACAUGUAUCAAAAGAAACAGAACAAGAUGCUGCUCUUUCUAAAAAUAAAAACAAGAUUCCUCUUUCCUCUCAUUCCAGUCACUUACAAAGCAAUAGAGCCCGCCUUCCCAAUUCAAAUUGGCCAAUCAGGUCACUUGAUUAGUUGCGAUUGGUCACAAACUUAACAAACAAAAACAAAAAACUCAAUUACUAAUGUAUUGUCAUAAUUACAUUAUUUACUUUCAAAUAAUACAUUGUAACCAUACAUACUUCAUCAUCAUCAUUUGACCAAUCACAGUUUAGACCCCGCCCACUCUCAAACCACAUAUCAAGACUGAAGGAGAACUGAAACUCAGCUCAUGGAUUUCAUGAUAGCUUUUCUGUUUAUAAUGAACUUCUCUUUCCAAAACAAAUGUUAGCAGACAGUGAGAGAGGAAUUUGGAUCUUCCUCACACAUUUGAAGAGCGGUUUGCUUAACAGUGAGGGUAGAGCUUCUGAUCUUGCUGUUUUACAUCUGAUAGUCAACUGAAAAGCAAAUGUUCCUGCAGGGGUCAGUAAAAGUUCACGUUGAAUCGACAAGUGUUGCUGUCACAAAGUGAAUAAAGUCAGUAUGUUAGACAGUGGGACGGAUGGUUAAACCUUUUAUAUAAUUGUUGCAUGUUACAUAUAGUGUUGUGAUUUUAAUGUUGUGCGCUAUUUAGCGAUGAACUCUUUUUAUUUACAUGCUUGUUUAACCUCCUCAACGAACUGUCACAACAAAGACACAGACACUGCUGAUUGACACACCGGCACCCAGUGAAAAUCAGCGAUCCCAUUCGCCAGUUGCCAAAUCCACUCCCCCAUAAAUACGCCGACUACCUGCUAGACGGCAGCUAUUCUUCUCUUGACAGUUGCUGCCUCACCUCGCCGCAGAUCGGACCGGAUCGGGUCCCUCCUCCUGCUCCUCCUCACCUCGCAGCAAAUCGGACCGCACCCUCCUCUAACCAUCGGAUUCAACGCUGAAACAAACUCCAGAUAAAGGGAAGUGGCUAUUUCUCCUGCUUUUGGGCGUCUAGUUUUACGUCACGAAAGUUACAUUGUUGUCUCCUUCGCUUCCAAGCGGACAGGACUUUCAGGAUUUUAUCAACCCGUGCUAGAACUGUAAUUCUUAAGUAACUGGUUUAUAUUUAUUGAACAUUAUUUUAACCUUACGUUAUUUUAAGUAUUUAUCAAAGGAGUGUUUUUAAAGUAACUUUGUACAAAUAAACAAUUUUACACC